rnacentral:rRNA from 1 species
AAACCAGCACCUCAAGUGGUCAGGAGGAUUAUUGGGCCUAAAGCAUCCGUAGCCGGCUCUGUAAGUUUUCGGUUAAAUCUGUACGCUCAACGUACAGGCUGCCGGGAAUACUGCAGAGCUAGGGAGUGGGAGAGGUAGACGGUACUCGGGAGGAAGGGGUAAAAUCCUUUGAUCUUUCGAUGACCACCUGUGGCGAAGGCGGUCUACCAGAACACGUCCGACGGUGAGGGAUGAAAGCUGGGGGAGCAAACCGGAUUAGAAACCCGAGUAGUCC